GCAAGUCGAACGAGAACGGGUUAUAGCUUGCUAUAACUGUCAGCUAAGUGGCGCACGGGUGAGUAAUAUAUAGGUAAUGUGCCCUAGAGAAGAGGAUAACAGUUGGAAACGACUGCUAAUACUCUAUAUGCCUUUAUCACAGAAGUGAGCAAGGGAAAUAUUUAUAGCUCUAGGAUGGGACUGUACGGUAUCAGAUAGUUGGUGAGGUAAUGGCUCACCAAGUCAAUGACGCCUAACUGGUUUGAGAGGAUGAUC
rnacentral:rRNA from 1 species